GGCUUAAGAUUUUUGACAACAUGAAAAAUUGGAAUUGGGCUGGAUUAAGUAAAUUAAAGCUGGUUAUGUUAAAAAUCAAUUCUUUUCUGGAAACACUCUACGCUAGAAAUUUUAUAGGAAUAUUUUGUUAUUUUCACCUCUCUCGCACCAGAAAACCGUCGCCCUCUCCGCCUCUCUCUCACUUUCUGCGUUUCUCGUAGCCUUGCAUCUCUCUCACCUCUCACUCGGCGCCGCACAGAUCUUCCCACCUUGCCUUCUCCGGCAGCAGCUGUAGCACGGUACGUCCCCUUUUUUCGUCGCUCCCUCCGCCUCGCCUCUCACACGCCACCGCAAGGACCGACCGGUCCCGUCUUCUCCGCCAGCAGCUGCAAAAUGGAAAAUCAGCAGUAGCGCAGCAAGCCUCGAGAAGUUCACCUCUACAGUUGCAUCAGUUCGCCUCUCUGACCUCCGCGGCUCCGAGUUGGUGCCUUAGGGCUUCAAAUAUCCCCUUUUUUCUUCUCGUUCUUCUCCAUCCGCGAUUUUUGAAUUCUAUUGUAUUUAUCUGCUAUUCAAACUGUACCUAUUUGUGGGUUGGUGAAUUUUGAAUUUUUCUUUUUUUUUUUUGUUUAAAAAGAAGGUUUCUUGAUAUAAUCCGAUUUGAAAACUGAAGUUCUAGUUGUUUAGAGUUAUGAUGAUGUUGGUUUCUGAAAAAUUGAGNCCCCUUUUUUCUUCUCGUUCUUCUCCAUCCGCGAUUUUUGAAUUCUAUUGUAUUUAUCUGCUAUUCAAACUGUACCUAUUUGUGGGUUGGUGAAUUUUGAAUUUUUCUUUUUUUAUUUUGUUUAAAAGAAGGUUUCUUGAUAUAAUCCGAUUUGAAAACUGAAGUUCUAGUUGUUUAGAGUUAUGAUGAUGUUGGUUUCUGAAAAAUUGAGAUAGGAAAAUUUGUUGGGCAUCUUGUUGGUAUAGAAAUUGGUCGAUUAUUUUUGGCAAAUUUGUGAUUUUUGUGGUGUAAGAUGUGGAAGUGGAAAAAACUGCAUAAUUUAUCAGUAAAAAUAACUUCCUAAAAUGGCGCCAAAAAGUUUACGUUAGAAACUGUGUUUUCAUAUAUAGAUAGAUUUUUUUUUUCCGACUUCUUCUGCAUAAAUCUUCUUCUUCCAUCAACGCAUCAAAAAUCCAAACAAAUAAAAUCUCUAAUAUCCUUCCCUUCAUCAGCAUCGCUUCUUCACCUAAUAUAUUACAGAGUCACUUUUUUUUUUCUCAGUUCUUCUUCCUUAACUUGCCGCUUCUUCUUUCAUCUUCUUCUUCUUCAGUUGUCGUCGUGGUUUUGGAUGGUGUUGGUGGUUGCAGUAGCACUGACAGUGGCGAUAAUGGAAGACGGUUGUUGGUAAAUUCAAAUGCUCCGAUGAGUAGAGAAACCAUGAUUGUUGUUUGAUUGCAAAUUUCAUCAUAUUUAUAGAGCCUCCAAACGUGGAGGCUAAGUAUACUUGUCCUCCAAGAACAUAUCAUGAAAUGACAGAUUAGUAUAUUUAAAAGGUAUAUUCUUGAUGAUCAAGUUCUGAAAGAGUUGACGAAGGUUGUAAUGUAGUGGAUAAUAAGAUGAUUGAUAUUACAUGUUGGUUAAAAGAAGGCUUCAUUUUCCCGCCAAAAUGCCCAAAUUGGCUCAGGUUGAGCCUUUAUAUAUAUAUAUAGAUAUAGAUAGAUAAUAGUCUCCCUGGUUCAGUGAAUGGAAUCGAACUGACAACAAGCUGCAAGAGAAGGAAACAUAGAAAGGAUGUUUGAGGGAUUGGUGAGGCAGUUAAUAUGGGGCUAUCUGGGCAAAUACAUAAAAGACAUCCAAAAAGAGCAACUCAAGAUCACCCUUUGGAAUGGUAAUUAUGCUCAUUUUCUUUAAUCUCUUUUCUGUAAUAAUUUGGAAUGUCAUUUUUUACCUCGUUUCUUAUUCCAGUUGUUAUAUUGGAAAUUUAUUAGCUGAAAAUGGAAUUAAAGGUGGUUACCUUUUUUUUUUUUCUUUAAUGAUCGUGUCGUUUUUUGAAAAAUAUAUAUUUGGAUGCAGAGGAAGUAUUACUGGAAAAUGUGGAGCUGAUUCUUGAAGCCUUCGACUACCUCCGGCUACCGUUUGCUUUCAAACAAGGUAAAAUUUUAAGUGGGGUUUUAAGCAUGCACUCUGAUGAGCUUGAAAAUUAAAUGAGCUACAGCAUACCACCAAAAGUCUUAUAGGAUCCAAUGCAAAGAAAUACUUGAAAUUUGUAUGUUUUGUACCCACCAUGCAACACCGAAUCUUACCCACACUUCUCACAAUUCUAGAAAUGUAUGUAGUUUUUUUUUUUUUUAUAAAUAAACAANNNNNNNNNNNNNNNNNNNNNNNNNNNNNNNNNNNNNNNNNNNNNNNNNNNNNNNNNNNNNNNNNNNNNNNNNNNNNNNNNNNNNNNNNNNNNNNNNNNNNNNNNNNNNNNNNNNNNNNNNNNNNNNNNNNNNNNNNNNNNNNNNNNNNNNNNNNNNNNNNNNNNNNNNNNNNNNNNNNNNNNNNNNNNNNNNNNNNNNNNNNNNNNNNNNNNNNNNNNNNNNNNNNNNNNNNNNNNNNNNNNNNNNNNNNNNNNNNNNNNNNNNNNNNNNNNNNNNNNNNNNNNNNNNNNNNNNNNNNNNNNNNNNNNNNNNNNNNNNNNNNNNNNNNNNNNNNNNNNNNNNNNNNNNNNNNNNNNNNNNNNNNNNNNNNNNNNNNNNNNNNNNNNNNNNNNNNNNNNNNNNNNNNNNNNNNNNNNNNNNNNNNNNNNNNNNNNNNNNNNNNNNNNNNNNNNNNNNNNNNNNNNNNNNNNNNNNNNNNNNNNNNNNNNNNNNNNNNNNNNNNNNNNNNNNNNNNNNNNNNNNAUAUAUAUAAUUGGUUUUGGUUUUGUUCGGUUUUUAUAGAACCGAAUCGAAUUCUUUUGAAAAAUAAAUGAACCAAACUGAAAACCGAAAAAACCAAACCAUAUUUAAUAUUUCGGUUUGGAUCGGUUCGGUUAUUCAGUUUCUGUUAUUUUGCUCAUCACACCUAGCCGUAUGUUGUAUGAGUCAUUGCUUAUUUCAUUGCCAGUAUCUAUUGUUGGUUUUUUUUUUUUGCUUCUCUUAUUUGUUAUUUAAGGAUAAACCUGUCUACUUUUACUAAUGCUUUUAGUUGGUUGUAUGAGGUCUUAUAAUCUAUCACGUGACACCUCGAUUUGGUUGCUUUUGUAGGCCGGGUUGGGAAGUUAAGCAUCAAAAUUCCUUGGAAGAAACUUGGGUGGGACCCGAUCAUUAUCAUUUUGGAGGAUGUAUAUAUUUGUGUCUCUCAGAGAGAUGACAAAGAGGUAAUUUUCUUUUUAGAUUGUUACCAUGAAAAUUAGAGGCGUGAACAUUACAAGUAACAUGUUUUUCUCCAAGUCCUGAACCAAAAUCACAUUUUCCUCUGUAUCUUUAUUGAUUUACUACUUUAGUUGUAUUGAUGGAUGCUGGAUGGUCAUUAUAACCGUUGAAGAAUUCCAUUACAUCACCAAGAAGCCCUAACUAAAAUUAUUUGACCCAGAUAACGGAAUUAGCAACGACCUAAUGACAAAAUCCUCGAACUGUGCUUUGAUUAAGAGUGGUUGAAAGUGGGUGGUUCUGGAUUGGCCCUUAGAGUAAUGUAGAAGUGUUUGGAAACAAAAUCAGAAGGGUUCCACCUACUUGUCAAGGUCUAGGAAUCUCAGAUACACAUGAUUGUUUAGGGAGGAUACAAGGGGGAUGUACCAGAAUUUUCCAAUAAUCUCAAUGAUUUCUUUACCUUUUGAGUAGCGACUCACUUACAAUUAUUUUUUGUUGUUUUUGUUGGUGGCGUUGGCUGCAGUGGGAAAUGGAUGCUAUUAAAAGAAGAGAAUAUGCAAGCAAAAAGGCCCAGCUUGCAGCAGCCGAACUCGCAAAGCUAUCAAGACGUGUAUGUGGUGAGCAUUUCGACUUUGAUUUUCCGGGGGUCGCUGAUAGAAUUUUUAAAUCCGUUAAUUCUUUAUUCCCAUGUUUGUAUUGAGUUUUUGGUUGUUUAGCGAAAUAUUCUGCAGAGUAUGAGCAAUUUUGGACUACACGAACUAAUUAUGCUUUUAUCAUCAAUCAUGAUUACUUGUGGUGACCACCUUUAUCUUCUUUGAUGCAUGAUGCCCCAUAGAAACUAGCAUGUCAUACAAAACGACUUCAUGUUCAUUUUUUCUCAUUUUGGUUACUGUGUCAAGACUGUUUCCUGUCAUCUUGAACAUCUUUUUGGUUUAAAAUGUUUCUCAGAAAAACAUCUUUAUUGCAGAUAAUCAGACUGGAAAAUCUUUUAUUUCAUACAUCACUGCUAAGGUACUAUUCUGCUACCUGCGAGCUGGUGAUUGUGUUUCAUUCUCUGGUUAGAAUAUCUCUUUAACUUUUGGCCUUCAUCUUGUCUUUUGGGGAAAAUGAGCUUACUUUUCAGUGAUUUAUCUCAUGAAGCAACAUUAGCACAUUCAAUAUCAAUUAAGGAAGAUACUCAGGACAAACUAAAACUUUUAAACUAAUAUGCUAGCUUCUUCUCAUGAAUUCUUGUUAUCUUUAUCUUUAUCUCAUUUAUUGAUAUCAUUCCUAAUAAUCUCAUCUACUAAAUGAUGUUCUAUCUUAGAGGAUAUUUGAGCAAUCUAUAAUAAUAGCCUUGAUAAUUUCACAAAGAGUCGGAAGAUUUCAGUUUAUAGGUCAUAUUUGACAUUUACCAUGGACUUUGCUUCGUAGUGCUUUAUUUUUACUUUUGGCACAAGGUUUCCGUUAAUAUAAUUUCCUAUAACUUUCCUUCUUUCUGUCCAAGAUUCUUGACAGCAUCCAAGUAUCCAUUAGAAAUGUUCAUGUCCUCUACUGCAAAAAACAGAGUGCAGCGGUAUGGUUUUUAUUUCUCAUAAACUAAUGCUGCAUCCUUUUUAUCCCUCACGACUCUGUACCUUCAAAGUGGAUUAUUAUUAUUAUUAUUUUCUUAAACAUAAUUACUUCAUCUUUUUGUGUGGAAUAUAUUAUUUGACUGAAAAUCUUUUUUAUGUCUCUCUAUAUUGCUCUUUUUCCUGCCUAUACUUGGUAUAGUGUGCUUAAUGGAUUAGGCAUGUAGACUGUAUAGUGGAUUGUGCCGUGUUCAGUCAAUCAUUUAUUUGUGUCUAAUUUUCUCAGUCUGAAUUAACACGAGUCAUUGCUCCAGCCUUCUUUGUCGUUGUUGUUUGAAAGGAAUAGGAGAAUCCUUGAGGAUAGCAAAUAAACUUUAGAAGAGGUGUGGGAAAUAAUAAAAAUUUCGAGGCAUCUAACUGUUGGAUAAUGAUAUAGAUUGGAGUUGUAUUUGUAGUUAGGUUGAUUUCACCUUUGGGGGAUAUCUCAUCCGUUUUUAAUUCCUACUUAUUGGUUUUCUAAUAAAAUUUGUUUCUUAUUAAAAUAAAAUAAAAUUAAAUGAACAUAUUGUUUGACUAAAUUCAUUGAUUUUUGUAGAGGAGUUUGCAACUCAAGCAUUCCACUCUUUAAUACUAGGUUAAAGGAGACCAAUGAAACAUUUCGAGGUUUAAAAUUUCAUGGGCUCCCUUCUAGUAUGCCCAUUUAUCCGGGGGCACCUUUUAGACAGACAUUAGAACAAUAUAGGUUUUUUUUAAUCUAAAUCUCAUGCUAGAAUGGUGUUUCAGUUUCCAUAUAAGUAUUUUUUAUCAUAAGAAUGAAAUAGAGAUGAAAUAAUGCAGAACUUAUUUCAUAUUGGGUGGGCUCCUGAAAAAAGAACAUUUUUUUAUUGGAUAAAUAAUUUUUCAUAGAUCGCAUGACGGUGGACUUGAACCUUAGACCUUUGGCCUCAAACAUUAACCACUCUAUCACUAGGCCAAUACACUGCACAAAGAAAAAAACAUUAUUUUGGCAAAGGGAUCUUAAAUUGCUUAUAUUUAGGUUCAUUUGACAAUCCAACUCAAUGAGCAUCUUGUUUUCUUCUCUUGUGAACUGAUCGAGUGUUGACAUGUUUCAAUAUUGUUUCUCAUAUCACUAUCUGAGUGAUCUCAUAUCACUAUCUGAGUGAUCUAUGAGGACCGUGUCAAUAUCUCAUUGCAAUAAGAGUUCAGUGCUGAUGAUUGUUUCUCUUGAUAGUUUGGAGCGAGUUUUAGUUUGUUUUUUUCGUUACAUUCUUUGUAUUUUAUGAAAUUUGUCAUGAAUUUCUAAUGGUAAUUUGUAUUAUUUGGACGUGUUGUUUUGCAGGAAGAAAUAUUAUUUGGACUGAAGUUUUCAAGUUUGACAAUUAUGAAGCAAACUGCUUUCGGGUAUCCUUCCUCACCUUGGAUCUUCACUUUUGUUUAAUUUGCAUGAAAAUGUGGUAGCCAUGGCCUUCUUCAUUAAUUUUGAAGCUUAGUUUGGAACACAUCGUAGUGACAAACUUCAUUGUUUUGGUUCAAUGUUAAUACCAUUACAUUGCGUUCCCCCCUCCCCUUCAAGAGAAAGAAAAAGAAAAGAAAGAACAUUUAUGUAUAUUAUUCGGUCGGUUUGAGUUGAACUGAUUUUUUUUUUUUUUUUAAAAUAAAAACCAAACCAACGUUUUUUUCCUUCUGUUUUUCUUUACGGUUUUGAUAUUAGCAACCGAACCUAGAACUGAACAGUACUAAAAUUCAGUUUUUAUUUCACUUUCUCAUUUUCUCUUGAUUUAAUUUUAGUUCAUUCACUUUGUUUGCCAAAUGAGCCCCUUGACUGAAAGCCAACGUUUGGCUGGCUUGGUACCUUGCUUUGUAUUUUUUUUCCCAUGAUGUGUCAUUUGGGGGUUUUCCCUUGUGCCAAAUCUUGCAGCAUUAUAUGUUUCUUUUCUACCUUUUGGGGCUUGUGUGAGGUGAUUAAAAGUGUGUUCUUGUAUGUAGAGAAAUUUCGUUGAGCUUCCCAAUUUAACAGUUUGGCUGUUUCAAAAUAAUAAUAAUAAUAAUAAUAAUAAUACGAUGUAUUCAAGUUAAAAUGCUCGUAUUUCUGAUCAUUAUGGUUCAAAGGUCAAAGGUGCUAGCAGAGUUUGGGUCCUUUCCUUAUCAUGCUUGGGUCAAUUUUGUCACUGAUGUAGGAUGGUAUCGAGGAAGUAGAAUGAGGGUUUUAUGAUUGAUAAUUGUUCCCAUAUUAGUCAGCUUGGGUGGAGAGGAAUGGGUGGGGGGUGGGGGGGUUUGAUAAUGGGAACAGUCUUUCUUCAUUUAUAGUGAGUGGCAUGGUUAUACAGAGUAUUACACUUGUAUCAUGGGCUAUAGAAAAUAAAAAAUAGUUCAAUCAUAUGUUAGUAUUAUAUUUAUUUAGACAUUGGAGUUUUGUCAAUUAAUUUGUAUCAGAUAUAGUUAAGUUUAGAGUCAUGUGUUCUAGUUUGGUGGUGGCUUUAAUUUGUGUGAAGUGGAUGCUUUGUCCGCUGGUUGUAGUUAUUAAUGUAAUGAUGUUUCUGUUCUGAUAAAAAGAGAAAGAAAGAAAGUCACUAUAAUUUACUUGGUGAUCACAAUUUUAUGCACCAGAGUGAGUGAAGCAUUAAGCAAUCAUGUUUCAGACCUCAAGUUUCGUGGGGUACUAGUUCAUACCGAUGGAUCGACAGUUGGCUCUUUUGGGUCCUUGUGGAAAGUUUAGAAUUCAGACAUUGUUCCAAUUUUCUUUUAUUCUAAUUUUGUGGAUAUUUAUGUUUUCUUUCAGAUCUACAACUGCAAAACUUAAAGGGGGUCAAGUCAACAAACUGAUUGAAAUUCAGGAUUUAGAACUUUAUUGUGAUACCUCCGGAAAAGCUGGUGGUUCAAAGAUGGAGAAUUCCCAUAAUUCCAAUAUUAUGGGAAGGGAAGAACUUGAGGAUAAUAAAUAUUUGUCAAUAUUAGCUCCGCUCAAUGUAUCAGUAUCUUUGUCGGUAAGCAUCUCUGGCUUGUUCUAUCUUAGGUAAUAAUAUUAAUUAUUGUUUCAUGUUUUGCAUGAUUGAAUAAAAUGUAAGCCAAUGCUAUUCUUACAUGGCUUUUCUUCUUAUAUCAGAGAAUUGUACUUUAGAUUGUAUUUCUUAUCACUAUUGGGUUGCUCAUUUUCAUACCUUCAUUUUAUUAAUAAAAUCUACUUGUUUCUAAUUAUUUGCUAUAUCAAAACUUUUUUAUGCCUGAUUGAGUUCUGAGUUACUCUUUAUUUGAAACUUUUGCUCCUCAUGGGUGUAACUUGUAACCACUCAAGAACCAGAGAUACUCUUGUAUGAUCAAUUUUUUAUGCCUGACCAUUGUACUUUCGAUUGUAUUUCCAUUCACUAUGGGUUUCAUCAUUAUGCCGUCAUGUUAAUCAAUGAAGCCUACUUUUUUUAAAAAAAUUAAGAAAUAAAAAAUGGAACUUUAUAUGCCUGGUAGAGUUUUGAAUUACCUUUUAUUUGAAACUUUUACGUAUGUACAUAAACUAGUAACCACUAGAUUACUGGUUAUAUCUACUUUAUUUGUGUUAAGAUUUUUUUAUAUAUAUUGGUGUAUCGUUUUUCGUGAUGUUGUAUCUGCUAGCUAAAGCUGGAUGGUUUAGCUACUACUGAAAGGAAAUAUGGUUGUUGAAAAUUCAAUUGCUUGUUGGAAUUGUUAUUAAACAUGAAACAUAGAGGAUUUCUGAUACAUUUUAUGUAUUAUCUUCUUUCAUAUUUGGUAUAAAAUAUGUUUGUAAUACCCAACAGAAUUUUAAAAGUUUUACUGAAAAUUGUCUCCUUGCAUUUUUCUUUUAAUAUUGUAACUGCAGUAAUUUAACCUACAUUAACAAAAAUAAAAAAAUUCUUAUGUGCACUCCCUAAUGAUACUAUACAUCAAUCCUUAAAUUUAGCUGUUCACUGUUUGUCUGUUGCGGUUAUGAACUGACUAAUAUGAUGAUGAUGAUGAUGUCUGGCAUAGUAUAACUAUCUUCUUGAGUUCUUUUUCUUUUGUACCUAUCUAUGCUACAAACUUAUUUAAUUUAUAUAGGACACAAUUAUUAUUACGUUUACAUGAGCUUUCAUCAAUUUCAUGUAGGUAAACAGGUCAGGGAAACUACUAAAUGAUGCUCCGCAGUAUACUGUCAACAUUGAGCUAGCUAGCAUGGUACAGUCAAUAUUUGCUGCAUUUUUUGCAUGUAAUUUGCAUUCUUAUCUUUUUCUUUAUCUGAAUCUUCUUGAUGAUUUCUUUAGUGUUGUGCUUUAUAGGCUACUUCAAUGGAUGAGGAUCAAUUACAGCACAUCUUGGCUCUUCUUGAUUAUGUAUCUUUAUGUCAAUUGAGAGAGAAGUAAGCUUGCUCUUAAGCUGUCAUCUUUUUCUCAGUAUUUGAUUUUGUAAGUGGCUUAGAGUAAGACAACAGUUUUUCCCUUCUUUCCUUUUUUUUUUUUUUUUUAAUGCUUGUAUGUGAAUUUGGAACUGGAAACAGGUUGCCACACUACAUUUACUUUGAGAUGUUUUAGUCCUGCAAUUUAAGUAUAAAUUGAAAAUGCAGGAUGAACUUGAAAACUGUUCGAGAUGAGAUCUAAAAACCUAUUCAAUCAAAUUCUUUACUAUUUCUGUUACUUAUCUAAACAGUUUAUUUAUUAACUACUUGCAUUCUUCACUAGUUGGUUAUGUUUAUGUUCCUGUUAUGUUUACGCCUGUAGUUUCUAUAUGUUACUUGUAUACUGUGAGAAAAUCCUGACAGUACCUAUAUUUAUAUUCAGGAUAUCCCUCAGCUUUGGGGGAUAUAAAUCCCCAGAAUAUGUAAAUUCAAAUUCAACCUCAUGUUACAUUAUCCUUUUCCGAAAAUUUUUGCUCCUUUUAUGCCAGAAUCUACUUGUGCACCAAUAGUAAUUCAUACAUUCCUUAGAGAUCUAGUUUCAUUGCAAAUAUGCAAAUUAAAAACAACUUCGACCCAAGUGAAUUAGGACUAAUUUGGGUUAUACCUAGGCUGGGUCAAGACGUGCAAGUUGGGUAGUAUAUACUUUACUUUGUAGGGACCAUGUUCUUUCCCUUUCUCAUUCAUAUUUCCUCCCAUCUGUUCUCUCUGGUCCCUUUUAUUUGGCAUUGCUUAUCAAAAUAUGAACUGCUUUGAUUUAUUUUGUUAUUUUUCAUCUUGCAGUUAUGGGGGCUAUCGCCCUUGGUGGAGCCCUUUAAAGGAAAAACUCAAGGGAUGGCAAAAGGCAUGGUGGCAUUAUGCUCAAGAGUCUGUUCUUUCUGAUGUUCGGAGGAGGGUGAGAAGAACUUCUUGGAAGUACUUCGGAGAGAGGCUGUAAGUUGACCUCUAAAAGUAUUAUUUGUAAUCUUGUUAAGUGGUGCUGACUACUGAACUUGACCUCUAAAGUAUCCUUUGUAAUCUUGUUAAGCUACCCCCUUGAAGUAAAUGUGAGUUAUUUCUUUAAGGUUUAAAAAUACCAUUAUGUGCAUCAAAAUAUAUAUCUUGGAAUGAAAUGCAUUUGUAUUUGUUCAUCCAAUUUGUAAGGGAAUAAAUUCUUGCUAAGAAUGAACCCUAUGUAGCUAAAAAUAACCAGCAUCAAUUGCGUAGACUUUGUGAUUGGACGCUUGUCAAUGAAAUGAGAAAGCUAAUGUGAGAAAAGACCAAGGGAAUUGAUAUAAGAGAAAUCAUAUACUCCCUCCGUCCCUAAAAAUUGUGGACCCAAAGAGAUAGCACGGGUUUUAAGAAAAAGUAUGGUAGUUGUGUUUAAGUGGAGAUUGGGUCCCACACCUUUUUGUAAAUAGUGAGAGGAAAAGUUUGUGGGGUUAUUUCCAAAUAAAGAAAGACCACAAUUUCUAGGGACGUCCCGAUAUAGUAAUAAAGCCACAAUUUAUAGGGACGGAGGAAGUACUUUUUUCCAUUUCUUCAUGUUAUGCUCCUGUGGUUUAUUGCAUUUACAGUGAUAUGAAUAUGUUUGGGUCAUCAUAAAAAUGUGAAUAAUUUAAAUGCUUUGAAUUUUGCCUCGCAUCUUCAUUUAGAAAUGUGUAUAUUAAAGUCUUUAUGUUUAAUGGCAGAAACUCUCGCCGGAAGUAUGUGAACUUGUACAAGGCCAAGUUGAAAUGCCUCAGACAUGACCAGGUGAGAUAGUAUUGCGUAGACAUAGGGAAAUAAAAUUAAACUUAAAAGUAUCAUGAACAUUUUAUUUUAAAAUUAGCCAAAAAAAAUUGAAGAUUGAAUCUUGGAUAUAAGCAAAUAAAAGGCUAAGACCACUUUCCUCCUGUUUGACUUUAAAGGGAAUGACAUUAUGAAAUUUAAACAUUUGGUUGUUUCAUUGUAGAUGAUACUCAGUUCUUUUUAUAAACAUUGUAAUAACAAUAUCAAUAUUUGCCUUUAUAAAGUAAAUCACAAUGUCCAUGCUUUGUCAGUAUGUCAACUCUAUCUAGUGAUGGUGAUUGCAUUUUGCAAGCUGAAAGUUUAACUGGGAUCUGGUCAUUCUGAAGAUCUUGUUAUCCUUGCUAACUUGGCUUUAUCUUUCUGUGUCAUCUUAUGUUGGUAACUCUAAUCCGGUUCGAAAUUUGUUUUCACUAGCAAUGUAAGCUAUCUGUAUGCCUGUGUUAAUUAUACAAACUUGUAGAAAAAUAGAAGACUAUGUACAAAUUUUAAGAAUAAAGAAAAUGUACUUUUGGAAAACCUCUCACUGUAUAUAUUCUUAAAAUGAUAUAUUGCUACUAAUUUCUUGUAAUUAAGUCAUGUUUUCUAAACUAGCAAUGAAGGAUGUUUUAGUCUACCUGCUUUCCUAAUGUAAAUACAGACUUGUGUACAAUGGAAGACUAUACUCAAACUCUGUGAUAAAAAAAUUAAUUUAGAUAAAUCAUUUCACAUUUUCCUAAUUAAAGUUGUAUGUCGCCACCUUUUUUUUGGAAUUCUUAAUCCAUUUAUGUUUGACUUCCAGAAGAUGGUACCUCUAGUAGGAUUGAGCUGCUUAUUCCCUCUCGCCGUAGUAUACUUCUUUUGCGUUAUGUAUUAUUGAAGCCUUACAAAUGAUGCUUUCUAAUCCCUUUUUGUUUUAAUCUCUUUCUGGUCUAUAGCCUCUUACUCCCUUUAAUAACUGUUCAUUCUGAUUCCAAUCAUCAGAUGAUAGAUGAAGAUGUUCAGCGGGAGCUGGAGGAAAUGGAAAAAGAAACUGAUAUAGACGAUAUUUUAAAUUACAGAGCUGUUGCCGAACAGGAACUAGAGGUAAAACGAGCACUAAUAAGUUUCUUCUAUUUAUCAUCUUUCUUGUUUGCAAUUAGCUUAUAGUUUCAUAGUAAGAUCGUUGCCAUCAGUUUACCGUAUUUUAGAUUAUUUAGCUGGUAUCUUAUUGAGUCCUACUUCAUAUCUCAUUGUAGUUGCAAGUUGCAACCAUCUGAAAUGCAUCAUCAUCAUCAUCAUCAUUGUAGCUCGUUGCUCCCACCUGUGGAUUCAGCAUAACGAUACUUGUUCUGCAAGUUUAGCCAAGAAUUAGAAUGUCUUCCUUAACUAUCCUGAUCCAAAUUUUGAACCGCCCACCCUCCUUAUGCCUUCCACUGACCAUUUGAAAAGCAACUAGAGGAAAAACAGACACCUAAUUGUUAUUUCAUUAGUGUAGAGUUCCUUGUAAUUAUGCUUCCUUUUUCUGGCAGGAUUUCCUGGUAAAACCAUCAUCAAGGUAUGGUAGCAAUGGUGGAAACAUGGACAAGUCAGUAGAAGAUGAUCAGCCUCCUAGCAAACCCCGUGGAUGGUUGAAUUGGCUGUCUUAUGGGAUGCUUGGAGCUGGGGGAACAGAUGUCACCAAUCAAUUUUCUGGUGUCAUUUCGGAUGAUGUGAUCAAAGUAUGAACAUCAUUGUUCAAUUCAAUCUUUAUCAAUGUAUAAGUUUGAUUGAACUGCUGGAAUAUUAGACAUGCAUAACUUUGUUGGUGCUGAAGAUUUGUCAUAUCUUUCUGAAGGAUAUAUAUGAGGCAACAAAAUUCUAUCCUGCCCCUGUCGUGGUUGGAGAUUCUGCUAUGAUGGAAGAGGUUUACUUUUCUUCAGUGAAGAUCAAUAUUUCUGAUAUUCAUACCAAGCUUCGGAGCAUGUACGUUAACUUUUUGUAUUACUUCUGUGAUGGGAUUUUAUACUUGAUACAAUAGCUUCGUAAAUAAGAGCUUUGCCUUUGAUGAUAUAUUUUGUGUUGAACUAAAAUAAAAUCUUGUAGGACAUCAGGGGAAACCCUGCAUCAGUAGUACGUAGCUACUAAGUGUAGACAUUUGUUGUCACUAGUAAUUCAUCUGUGCCCUUAGAUUGGUCAGGCAAGGGUGAAAAGGUGUCUAACAAGCCAGCCGACAUAGUAAGCUUUUCGAAUGGUAGAAAUUGAGCCAGCAGUUGAAGUCUGCCUUAAUUAAGAUACUUCAUGCCAUGUAACUUAGACCCGAUUUGUACAAAAUCUGUUUCAUCGUUCAUAAAUUAUUAGGUUGUGGGUGAGGACACGGUGAAGAUUUCGUAUGUGGGCGACACUGUUUCUCCUAAAUAAAAAUGAGUCUGAUCUUGUUCUUAUCUAAUAUUUUAGAAUCUCUUUGCAGCAUGUCAUGUUUGCAGAGUAAUAUUGAUGAGCAGUCCUAGUGGGUACAAAUUUAAAGGAGAAAAAAUCAGAUCCUUGUCUUAUGUGAUUUGUUGCAUGGUAAGGGAUGGCUGAUUAGGUACUUAGGGGGUCCCAUUUUGGUUACUUUGUCAAUCUUGUAUAUUGAUGAUCUGUGAUAUUAUCAUCCUCCCUACUCUCUUGUAGAGGUAAUACAUAUAUAUCUAAUAAUUGAUUUUAAUGUUAUGGUGCGUCAAAGUAAUAUACUAUAUGUGAUACUGGUGAUCAUUUAGGAAGCUGGGGCACAGUAUUGCUGACUUGAUGCUCACUGGGAUUUCUAUCGAGGCUAAGGUCUGGGAGCAAUCUGCAGUAAUUAAUGCCUCUGUCAACUCCGCGAAGAUGCUCAAUCCAUUCAACAGUCAAAUAAUUCUUUCCUCGAAGAAGGUCUGUAUGUUCUUACUUCUCUGCAUUUAUCAUGGUUUUAGUAGCUUUUAAUCUCAUCUAGUAAAAUUUGGAUGUGAUUUGACACGUAUUGUGGAGAGGAGUAUACAGAUGUAGGAUGACUUCAAUCAGUCAAUUUUUACUGGAGUUCCCUUAUUUGCAGUAUUUUGAAAAUGCUGAUUGAUUGUUGUUUAUGUGUGACGUACAAAUUAGUUUUAUUGUGAGUGGAAAUUGAUAUAUGUCUGGUUUGAUAAAGGCUGCAGUAUCCGGAACUUAUGUAAUAUUUAUUGUUUCUGAUCCUUCUACUGAAUCUGUCACUUUAGUUUUGAUAUCUUAUUUUCUGUAUUUGUAUGUUGGAAUGGCUUGACUGAUGAUGUUUUUAGGAUUUGCUACCUGAGUCACUGUCACUGACCAAAUUGGUCAUGCAUAUAUUUUGGAUGACAUAAAUUUAUCUGAUUUUUAAUUCAUUAUAAUAGAACUUGAUUGUUCACAGAUGAAUUCAGAGGAUGAUAUUUUUGAAAAGCAGCGGCCCUCUUUAGAUAUCAAAGUGGAUAUGCCCCCACCCAGUUCUGAUAUUAAUUUGUCAGUGAAGGUUUUCCUAUGUCCCUAAGCUCUCAAGUCCUUCAUUUAUAUCAGAUUGCAACAAUGUUGUCUAAUAUUCUAUUAUCUGUCUGUUUCUUGGGGUUAAUGAAUAGCAGCUUCUGUAUUCAGGUGACGCUUAGUCCAACUGAACUAUUAUGUGAUUCAGAGUUUUUGAAGAAUAUUUUGGAUUUCUUAGAUGUUCUACACCACAUUAGCUUUCAACAACAGAGGGUAAUAUAUGGCAUCUUUAAGAACUUCCUAAAUUCUUUUAGCUUUACUUUGGAUAUUGCUCGACUGUUUGCGGUGUGCAAGAAUAUGAUUGUCCGGUUUUACGGAAAUAUAAUUGCUGUUGUACUCUCUUCAUCUUUUUGCACUUUGUUUUGAUAAUAUUGUGAGACUUCCGUUAGCUCCUUGCAAUUGAUGUGCUGUUAACCUGUGGUUUUAAGUGUUCACUAACAUGUCUCAAUUAUAAGGUUGCAUCGGCAUCAACUUUUUCUUGAUAUUCUUUUAUCUUCAUAUGGUAUUAGAAUGUUAUGCAUAAGAGGCCAUAGAUCUGACCUGAAUUGUCUUUAUUCAUUUAUUUACAUGAGAUUUGAGUUUAUUUUAUAGGAAACAAGAGUGUUAAAGGAUGAGCUAUUGAAAGUAAUUUCCUUUAAGAGAGGAUUACGGUGAUUCAUCCCAGACGUUUGAUACUUGUGUUACUACUGAACCUCUGUUCUUACAGUUAGUUACUGGUUUUCCCUUUCCUCUUGUCUUUGUUCUGACUUCUGACAGUUAGUAACUUGUUAUCCCUUGCCCUUUCCUGACACUUUAGUCUAGCUUCUUUGAAAAGUUUGGUUCACAUGAGCCCUUUGUAUGGAAUAGAUGGUGUACACAAAUAGGUUAAGUGACUCACAGUUGUUUAGAUACUCACCAUGUAAUUGUCAAUUAUGUUUUUCCAUGUUGCUGAGAUGCCACAAAUUUUGUUAUUAUGUAGACUCUCUACAUUAUAUUUUUUGGCAUACAGUGUGUGACAAAAAUACUGUUUUAGAAGUGAUUUCAAGGGACUUUUGUGCCUCUCAGCAAAGUAUAUAUUACCUUAAUCUACCAACAAAGAAGGAGCACAAGAUGUGGUUUUGUGUAUUCCUUUGACUACAUAUUAGCAUCUGAAGCUGACUUUUAUGCACUUAAGUAUGUAAAGAAGAGUUAAUUCAUCCCAUUGUAAUUUGUAAAAUUUUUGGAAGUGGAAAUGGAAGAAAGAAGAUUAAACUGGGGAAGUAUGUUAAACUACAUUAAGGAGUACUUGUGAUACCAAUAUAUAGGAGGAGUGGAGUAGCAAUGAAGUACCUUUCUUGGAGGUGCUGAGCUAGAUCUGUGGUUAUAUGUGGGGAAUUCUGAUACCUCCAUUAAUGCUGAUCCAUUUCUUAAUUCUCUAUCAUGGUUUCUGGACAAGAUGAGCUCAAUUAUACCCCUUUUCUUGAGGGUUUAGCAACUAUUAAGGCAAUUUUCUUACUUUGUCCACAGCAGAUUCAGACAAAUAAGUCUCAAAUGUAACAUAUUCAAACCUUGAUGACUAGAAAAUAUGAGACUUAAUCAAUUUAGAAUGCUACUCUUUAUUUCAUAUGCGUUGAUAUCAGGAGAAUGGUACUAAACAGUCUUCAGUAUCACCAAAUUUUUUUCUUGACAUAUUGUGUUUUCAACACACCACUAGGUUAAGGUUCCACCUGAGCACCUGUUCUAACUCCUGUUUCAUUGAUCUUGUGGAUUUGUUCACUGCUCAUAACUGCCUAUUUAACCCAUUGUUUUACAUGCAAACUAAAAUGAAUAAAAAUGCUUUAUCAGAUGUUUUCUUUUUGUGAAACAGUGUUCUCAUGAUGUUUGCUAUUAUUGUUAUUUCAGAUCCUGCUAUCACUAAAUGGAAUUGAUGAUCUUAACUCACGACUUCUAUCAAAACUUGAGUAUGUAUAGUGUUUGUAGGGUGCUCUGCUUAAUAUUUUCCUAGUUUAUAUUUUACUAUAUCUCUGACAUGAUACUUAUUUUCAUUCAUCUCUUUGUUCUUUUGUUUUAAAUUAUAUUUGUUUUGCAGCUACGUUCUAUCAAAUCGUAAGAAGAUCACGUGGGAUAUAAAUCUUUUGAAUACUGCCAUUAAUAUACCAUGGGGACAUGCUAAUAUUGGAGGACAUAAUAUGGUAUCUAUUUUCCAUACAUUUGUUAUUGCUAACUUUGAUUUAUGUUCUGUUUUCCCCUUCUCAUGAGUGGGUGAUGGCAGUGAUGCAUCAUCUCGACAAUAGUUUUGAAAUUCUUUCUGUCGCAAGUUUUAUGUGUUUCUUCCAGAGAAUAGAAUUGCUUUUUCCUUUGUGUUGCCCCAACUUCACUUCCAAUUCAAGUGACCUUGAAACAUUAUUUGAUUAUGGCUUCUACUCAAUCAAAUUAAAAUUUUCGUUCUGAGAACUAAUUAUAAGAUUUUACCUUUUCUAGUUCCAUUUAGAGGCGGGUAAAACCUAAUCCUUGUACCUGAUUUUUUCCUCAUCCAGAAACCUUGGGCCAUCCGAAUUGCGUGAUAAUAUUUUGAUUGGCCAGUUAGAGUUAAGAAAUCAAAUGGGAUGAUACUUUGUUAAACAUAGAUAAAAUAAUGGGUAAUACCUUGUCUCUUUGUUUAACUGAAAACAAUAAAUAUAUUUUGUCUGCCACUGUUACUUUACAGAUAUGGACAUGACUAGUAAGGAAACAAUUUAGCCAAUGGAAGAUCCCAGAAUUUCAAUGAGCAGAUACCAAAACUUGUGCGUAAAGUUAUUGUAGUCGAUCUGCCAUCCUUACUGCUGGAUAGUUCCCUUAUUUGCUCCUUGUUGAAUAGCAUGGCCAGCUUUCCAGCAGUUUCCAUUCUCUAUCAGACCCAUGCACUCUUAGCUUUAGCAUUGUACACAAGCACUUAUCGAAAUUCCUGUUGGCGAUUUGUUUCUGUACCUUUUGCUUAUUUAGCAUCACAGUUGAGUAAUUAUUAUAUCUGAGGAAAUUUUAUUGCUCUAUUCUUUAUUCUUAGUGGAUCCAUUUUGACAGGUUGUAGUAAUAGCAGUUAUUUCCUUCACAUCCAAACCUGAAAUAGACUCUUCUGCUUCCAUCAUGGGAGAUACGUCUCAGCCUUUGCAUUAUGUUGGAUCUGGUCCCACAGGAGAUUCUGAAUUUGGGUCUCAGUUUCAGAAUCUCUAUGAUCACUUUGAAAUCCUGAUAUCUGAUACAGAGGUUAGGGUUUUAUUCCGUCCAAGUUGAUCUGUUGUAUGGACAAGCAGGUUGAUUUUAAAUUUCACUUUUUGCAGAUUAAUCUAAUCAUGCCUUCUUCUGCAACUCUCCCACUCAUUGAGAAAUUUAGUGCUUCUGCAAGCUUGGUAUCCUGUACUUUGCCUGAUGAACCAGUUCUAAAGUUUUUAGAGGUAAGUGGCAAUGUUGACUACAUUACUUUUCAGUAUACAGCCAUGACAAUAUUGUUUCUUCAGUGGAUAAUUCAUUGUUACUUUUCCAUGCACUUUUUGAUCUUUUUGGGAAUAAAUGUGAAGUGGAGAUUCUCCAUUAUUACCUGAACAAUUUGGCAGUAAGUGGUAACAUUGUUUUUUUUUUUUGAGGGGCGUGGUAACAUUGAAUUGAUUCCUUUUGAGUUAUUUUUCUGGGAAUGGAUUUUGUGCGAGACUCUUUGCUAGUUGUUUAAGGCACAUGCUUUCAGCUCAAUACAGGUAUUAUUUGAAAAUGCUUGGCUUUUCCAGUAUGCCGUGGUACACCUAAAACACCAUUAUUCAGGAGGUUUCUUAGAAAUGACAAGUUGCUCAAUGUUGAUAAUAACUGCAGAAGGGAAAUAAGCUAUAAUUUCAUCAAAUUAGGUAAUGAAGUACUUACAUAUUGAUUAAUUUGAAAUGGCUCUUAAGGCAGCAUGAAAGUGAUGAUUAAAUCUAGAAUGAAGGGUGUGCAGCUCACUUAACAACAAUUGUCUUCACUGCGAACAUCAUCAGAUGCAUUUGAUAGGAUAUUAUUUUCUUCGAAGUUUUCAUAUAAUGCCCUCUUAGUGAUACAGCACUAUAAUGAAUCAACUACUUGGCGUCCAUUAUUGCUUUGCCUAGCUGACUCACCCAAAUUGCUAAAAGAUAUUAUAUCCACUUAUAAGCUCCUUAAACUUUCAUUUCGCCAACAAUGUGGGAUAAUGCACACUUGUUGGAGACACAAUGUCCUUGUUGCACUCCAUUUUUUGCAGGACCGCCCUGGCAGUUGGCAUUCCCAUGGUGGCCCUGAUACCAUUCGUAUUGCUAACUGGGGCUCUACCAUAAAGUUAUAAAAGGAAAAGAAAAACUCAAUCCAUAAAAACAAUUUGUCAGUUGUCCUACGGAGAUAACAUAGAAGGACAGUUGUAACAACUAACAAAGCUACACUUCACCAAGGGGGCAAUGGGCUUCCCUAAGUUUUCUGUCCUCCUAAAGAUCAUGUUAAUGUGUAUACGUAGGUAAUGGGGUUAGUCUACUCUAAAAGUUGUGUAAAAUAUAUAUACAUAUUCAAAUAUUUUUAUGUAUCUCUAUUUUUAGUAAUUUCAUAAAAUUUCCAGACCCAAAUACACAGACACACACAAAAAUAUAUAUAUAUAUAUAUAUAUAUAUACUAUAUAGUNAACAGACACACACACACACACACACAUAUAUAUAUAUAUAUAUAUAUACAUAUAGGGAGUGGUUCAAAUAAAAACUUCUUAUUGUGAGAACUGUGAGAACUCGACACUGAACUCCACACUUAGCAAAUAUUGCGAAUUACUUAUAGGUUCAAUACAAUUACUUCAUAGGUUCAGUGCAAGAGUUCUCACAAUUUUCACAAUAAGAAGUUUUUAUUUGAACCACACGUUCUGACGUUCUAUCAAAAAACUUUGUGUAAUGUUGUGAGGAGAUAUAUUCCCAUAUCUUAUUAAUCCAUAUUGUAAAAUGGUAGAGAAAUCUAAAUCUGUGUGCUUUGAUUAAGGAAGAAAAGGAGAAAGAAAUUGAUGCUAACUGGCUUGAGGAUAACUCUCGUGAAGCUCCAAAGUCACUACUGUCAUGGGAUUGAUAUGGAUUGCUUGGCUAAUGAACUUGGUAAAACUUGGGAUAAAUUUUAAGAGAGGGGAAAGGGAAAUAGCUUUGGUGAGCAUUUGAUGCUAACGGUACCUGAUUCUUUCAUCUUUGUUCCUGUUGUUUUGUAUGUGAUGGGACUUGUAAAAUCGGUAUUUUUAAAUCAUGAGAAUGCUGAAGAGUAACGGUGACUCGUAGUUGAAUAAUAUAAUAUUUAAUUCCCAUCAUCCCAUGUUGAGCUUUUAUAUUAAUCCCAUCAUAAGAUUGACUUGGAGAACCUAAUAAUUUUUAAAAUAGUAUUACUCCAGCAGUUUUUAAUGUGAGAUGAAAUAGCAACUUCAGCCAAAACUUAGGUAAUAUGCUCCAUUUGUUGCAAUGUGUAAAAUGGACUGUUCAUUCUUAUAGUCAGCACCUUGUGCUCCAUGUUCUAACGUAAUGCAUUGAAGUUGAGCUUAAUGAAGAGGUAUGUAUUUGUAACAGGUAGCCUAUUAAGAAACUUGAUUUAGGUGACUCCACAGUCAUCGUGAGCUUUGGUAGAGGCAAUGCAAGUGAUGCCAUCAUGUACACAUGUAGUAGGGUCUACUAGAAAGUAUCACGUAGUUUACGGAAAAUGCAUGUAGAGUGCGUAUUUUUUUUGGUGCACUAUGAGUAGCACAUCAAUGCUUGGUGAUAUGUGCAACCAUUUCUCACAUUUGGGUAAUCUUAAACAAGACAACUGUGUUAAAAUUUUGUUUUGAAUAAAAGCUGCUUCUAGCUUGUCUCAAAAGGGUCUAUGUGGUUAUCUUUUGUCUAAGCAUAGAGAAUAGGGAUCAAGAAUGAGGAGUGGAUUAUCCACCAUUAUUUACUAUUAAAAUAUAUAUGUAUAGAUGUAUAUAUAUAUUCCUUUUACAUUUUUGAUUUGUAUUAUUUUGCUUUUAGGCUCAUGUGCAGGUACCAUCACUUGUUGCUCACUUCUCUGCUUCUGUUUAUGGGGAAAUUAUGGGAUUGAUUUCGCAGUUUAACAUUCUUCUUCCACCAGACUCCUCAGAUUCAGUUAAACAAAAGUCGAAUGGCUCAAAGGCCUCUGAGAAUACCUGGUUCUCCAUUGAUGCUAGUUUGGAUGCAAUUUAUUUGCUGGUUAAUCUUGAAGAUAAUUUGGCUGAUGGAUGCACACUGAAUUUCAAUUGUCAGAAACUAGGUGUUUGGUACGUUACUUUUGUUCCUUAGUUCUCUGCUAAAAAGGAGAUUGAAGUUAGUUAUGUGGGUGCAUGUCAUUCUACCUGUUAUAGCCUUUAUGGUACCUAGUUUUCUUCUUCACUUCAUUUGCGAGUUGAUUUUCAUUUUUUCUUUUGUUAUGAUUGUGCAUAUUCUUGUUCAUACGGUUCAUUGGUUAGUGAGCAGUAUUCCCAGUAUUAUGAACGCUUUCAAACACUGCAUGUGGGUUGCCCUAACUUUGAAACAAAAUGUUAAAAUUGCAACCAGCUUUUGAUGCUUGAGAAAAAAGUAUUCUGCUAAAAUUGUUAACCCUUUUAGACAUAAAUGAUUGUAAUUCUUGGUUUCACAUAUUCCUGCCCAAUUGGAAUGAUUUGGAAUGAAACCAAAAUAUUGCUUGCCACCCAAGUGAAAAGUGAUAAUAAAAACUGGCAAAAGUGUUUUCAAGUGCCUUUUGAAUUACAUGUAAAAAAAGGUGGACGUCUGAGAUUGUUCUGGACCUUCUGGUAGAAAGCAACUGUUUUAAAGUUUUACUUUCAUAACACCAUGUUCAAAGUCUGAGGUUGGAUGUUUUGGUGGAAAGCUGGAAAAUGUCUGGCACUCACCUGUGAAGUGUAUAGUGGUUUAUAUGUCUGUUAUUUGUGAAUUAUUUUUAUGGAUUAUAAUCUUGAUUGUAGGUAUGACCAAAGAGAUUUUCCAGAUUGCUGGGUUUCUCUGCAAGCUUGUCAGGUCACUGCUAGUUCCACUAAAGAUGGUUGGGAAAGCCAUGUGCUUUGUUCAAGCAUCCCGGGCUCUGGAUCAGUAAAUCAGCAUAACAUGACUGUUGAUGGUCAAAAUGGAUAUUUUGAAGAUGAAACUUCACUUGCUGCUCAGUGCAUUUUUCUGCAUUUUGAAGCUGUGAGAAAUACUCCAUGGAUCCUUCAGAAAUACACAUUAUGUGCGAGUGAUUUUGAAAUUCAUUGCUAUCCAUUUAUUGUCCAGAAGUUGGUUGGCUUCUUUGAUGAAAUAGCACUUUAUGGAGAAUCUAAUUUUGAUGGCAAGAAAUACAACGUAGAAGAUGAAAACUCGGCAGUAUAUGAUUUUGAACUUGAGAAACAUAGUUUUUCUAAUGGAAUUGGUUUAAAUGAAUCAGCCAACACCCCAUUGGAUCACAUCCCUUUAACUACAUUUGUGGAUGGAAAAUCUUUUUGUAACCUUGAAAAUUUAGUUGAUGAUAUGAGGCUCAAGUUCAGUGAAACUCUCAAUUUGAGAGACCAGAAAUUCAGACCCUCCAAAGUUAGCCUUCCAGACAGAACCAUGGUGUUUUCUACGCCACCUAUAAAUUCUAAUCUUGAUCCUGAUUCUUCCAUGUGUAAUUUUAUAAAUAGGGAUUCAGUUCUUGUCAAUUUGAAUCUUGGCAGCAUCACUAUGCAUUUUCAUGACUCCUCAUGCAUUAUUGGAACUAUUGUGGUGCCCUUGGCAAAAUCGGUAAUCACCAUUUCCAAAGACAUGUUGGAUAUAGUGUGUUCUACAGAAGGAGUGUUUCUUUCUACAUCAUGGUGGCCUAAAAUAACUAAUGAAUUUCUUUGGGGACCCUUAUCUUCAAACCUUUCACCUAUUCUGACAAUAAGCCUGAAGAAAAGGAACACCCAUUACAAAAUUCACACAGUGAAUUGAGUUUCUACGUCCAGCAUGUCUCCUGCAUGCUGCCUCCGGACUUUCUGGCUAUGUUGAUCGGUUAUUUCUCACUACCGGAUUGGAGCCCUUAUGAACUAGUACUACCUACUGAUACUAUGGAUAUUCAGGACUCUAUUACAUUUAGUUUCGAGAUAGUUGACUGUAGUGUGAUUACACCUGCUGAGGAUGAUUUCUGUCGGUUGCUACAGAUUGAUAUCAAACAGUUAUCUGUUGCUUUCUCUGAAAACAGUGACAGAAGUUCAUUAACCAAAAAUAUUCCAUCCUCAUGCUGCAUUAGUGCUGGAAAAUUCUCUGAUAGAAAUCAGUGUUUGGACUUCUUUGGAUGUGACCUAUCCCUAUCUGUUUUAUUGUUGGCAAAGGAUGUAGUCAAUCCCUUGGACAGAUGCCAAAAACAUGUCUUGGUUAGUUCGCUCACUGCAGAUGUUUGGGUGAGAAUUCCCUAUUUUUCUGGGAGUGAUUCAGCUUCUUAUCCAGUUUGUAUCAUGGCUUUGGUCAGUGACUGCCUGAUUGAUAUUGAAGGUAUUAGGACUGUGUUAUUACUUAUUAAUUAAAUUUGAUUCCUAAACAAAUUUUCUCUGUUCUAAUUUUUAAUUUUUUUGUAUUCUGUUAAUUUACAGAAGAACGUACACUCGCUGGACUGGAUGCACUGGGUUACGUCAUUGAUCAGUUCUCCUUGGUGGAACAAGAAUCCAAAAUGUUCACAUACGAUGUUGUGCAGUUUCUACAGACAAAGAAACAAAUAAUGGAGCUAUCUGCGCUUCUGCCUAAAAGCUCAGAUGUAACAACCAAUGAGAUGAGAUUCUGCGUGAGGUCAUUAUCACUAAGAUUACACCAGUUGAAAAGAGACUCAACGUGUUCAGAAAUCAUAGCGGAGGCUGAGAUGCACUUUGUUUGUUCUUUAUCAUUGAUUAAUGGCAACCCCCACUUUUUUGAUAUCUCUUUCUCUUCUGCAGCACUAUUUUCAAUGCUAAACUCUGUUGCCCUUGCUGAAUUUUCUUGUACUGAUUCAGGCUCAUCAGUCCUUGACAUGAUUCUUACAGUAUCCAGACAUGGUGAAAAUGUGAUAAUUUUGUCCUUUCCUAGUCUGGAUGUGUGGCUAUAUUUUCCGACUGGAAUGAGGUUAUUGAUCUACUUGUUUCAUUCAGCAAGAAACUGUCUACACAGAUAUCAGGGGCAUCUGUUGAAGGUUUGUCAAGUGUUACCGUUGAUAAUUGUCAAAGUGUGGCAUCUGAUAGUCAAAGUCAUGUUCCGUUGGAGGACAUCAGUGAGGUUGCUGGUUCUUCCAUUUUAACAUUAGAACAUGUCGGCCUGUCUAUUCAUUUUCCUGCAUUGGUCAGCAGUGAUGCAUAUAACAUGUUUGGAAGUCCCCAUGUUCAUGACUUGCCUCCAGGUGAUGUUUGUGGUAUUCCAAGUGGCAAUCAGAACUGUUUUAUUUCCAUUAGCCUGCAAAGUAGAUACAGCGAACUUGUUGGAGAUGGCAAAAGUGUGAAACUUGCAAUCAAUUCUGAUUGCACGAGUGCAGUGUUGAAGCUAUUAUCUGGAGACACUUCACAAAGUUGGCCUCUUUUCCAGUUAUCUAAAACCUACCUCGAGGCAGAAAUUUUUGAAUAUCAGACUGAAAAUCUGAGCAUGAAUUUGUUCAUUCGUUCCGACAGUCUGGAUUUGUCUCUCGGAAAUCACAUCCUAUACCUCUUUUACUUUACAUGGUUCGAGAAAGUAGAAAAUACACCUUCUCAGUUUAAUAUCAAGAGAAUGGAGAUAAAAGCCCAACUAAGGAGAUUGUCUCUACACCUAAAUGACUGGAAGGUAUAUAUCCAAUGGCACUAGUCCUAAGUUAGUUACAAUAUUUGACUCUUAUGUGGCAAGAAUUAUUUUCACAUCUAAUUGAAGAGGAAGAUAUACAUCAAGUUGGUUUCCCAAACCUCAUCUGCUCCCUCCUUUCUUUCCCUUUGGUUUAAGAGUCAAACUGUACUCGUGGGCAUAAUAUACAAUGUGAACGAGAAUAUCUAUUAGAUGGUUCGCAACAAUUUUUUAGUUCUCCUGAACUUUCAAUUCCAAAUAACGCAACGCUGAUGUUUAGGCGGAGUUCACUGGAAGGGGAGUAAGGUACUGAUUCCUCUGAGCAUUAUGUUCUUUCUGCCACAGUGAAGUGGAUGGCAGUGGCUAACCUAGUGACCCAUAGGACACAAGUGAGAGUUGGUGGAUUAAGGAACAUGUAAUUUUUGGAAAAGAAGGUAGGAAUGAGUUGGGGGAUUUAAUUUUUUAUAAAACAUUAAGUCAUUAUAGUUAUCAGAGUCUUAUUUUGAUUCUUAUUCUUAAAAGGAAAUUAGAUCCUAACUCAAAAUGUUUUGUCUUCUUGGAGAAUUGGCGAAAAAUAAGGAACCUUCAGUUAUGUGGUUAUCCCUCCCACCCCCUAAAAUUGGCAUUUGUUAUCAGCACUUCAUAGCUUUUUAGACACUGCUGUAUGUACAGAGUACUGGAAACAAUAGACUUAACAUGAGAAACUGUAACUCCUAGUGGCAUGGAAAUAUCUGUUGGUUAUCAUGUACUAGGAAUCGACCAUAAGAACGUCUUAACAUUUACAAACCUAUAUUUAAGAUGAGAUCAAGUGAUUUUAGGAGAUUGAUGAGACCAUCACUUCUGGAAUGACUCAGACAUGACAGUGAAUCUUAUGACAUUUAAUAUUAUGCCGCAAAAACUAUCAUUGAUACUCCAAUAUGUUUCCAAAGUAUUCUGUUAAACAGAUUUAGUUGCAUCCUUUGAUGAAAUCCUUCCAUUCAAUUAAUUAGAUUUUCUAGUGGUUUUCUUAUUAUUUACUGAUCCAUAAUGCAACAUCUCUGAGUUUUCAUGUCUUCUAUUAUUUAUUUAUCUUUUUGGGUUAUGGAGCAGACUUCAAAUGGACCGUUGCUGGAGUUUCUUGUGAGAAAUUCAAUUUUUUGGUCUACUGUAACUGAGGAUGGAAUUGAAGGAUCUCUUGGGUGUGACCUUCAAGUGAACUACUACAACAUUGACAAGGUAGAAAGAUCAUUUGUAAUGUACUAUUUCCUGACUAUCUAAUCUUUUGGAACACUGUGGUCACUGUACAAUUUAUAGGUCUUGUGGGAACCUUUUCUAGAGCCUUGGAAAUUUCAGUUGAGCAUGAGCAGAAAACAGGACGAGAGAGCUCUAUUUAACGGCACUAUCACGACAGACAUCAAUCUUGAAUCUAAGACGCAUCUCAAUCUGAAUCUUAAUGAACCCAUUGUUGAGGUACAAUCAUUUUCUAUGUUGUUUGGCUUAGUAGAAGUUUAAUAUGAUUGCGGCUACACAUGUCAAUUGAUGGUAUUGGCUGUUCAUACAAAUGUAGUGACUCAAAAUAAUUCUAUUAAUUUGGCUUUUGCUGUCUGCUUUAAAUUUGCUUAAAAAAGGUUGUCUCAAGGGCUGUUGAGAUGGUCAAGGAUGUGUGGAGCCUUACUGAAAUGACAGAAAGCCCAGACCUGCCAAAUUCACAGAUAACUAAAGGUGCAGGUACUAGAAGAUAUGCUCCAUACAUGCUGCAAAACUUAACUACUCUGCCCCUACUAUAUGCAUGCCAACAAAAACUUGGGGCCGAUGAUUUGGAUGUGUCCCCAUCAAAAGGUGUCUUACAACCUGGUUCUUCUACUCUUAUUUAUAUCAAUGAAUCACCUGAAGAACUCCUAUUCCGAUAUAGACCAGUUCAAUCUUCUGACAGACUCAACGACAAACAAUUAGUUGAGGCAGCACAUCGAUUUGUUACUUUCCAACUGGAGGGUACCUCUGUACCAUCUGCUCCCAUCUCAAUGGAUCUUGUUGGCCGCAGCUACUUUGAAGUACAGUUUUUAAAAUCUUCGCAUGUCCCUGAAUUUCAAAGUGAUGCAAAUUCUAUUAGAAAUAGGAUGAACGAAGGAAAUGGUGGUUCAGAUACAACUAAAGGGUUUGCUAUUCCUGUAGUGAUUGAUGUAUCUGUACAACGGUUUACUAAGUUGAUGCGGUUAUAUUCGACAGUAUGUUACUUUCUGACCCUCCUUUUAAAAUUGCUUUAGUUCUUCUGUCUUUUAAUAAUUGCUGUUUUCAGGUUGUAGUUUUGAACUCAACUUCAGUGGUGCUUGAAGUGCGAUUUGAUAUUCCAUUUGGUUUAUCUCCAAAGGUAAUCUUGCAAAACUUAGUUAGUUCCUAGUUUCGCUCUCAUGUGGAACCGUAGCCUGAUGUUUCAAUUUAAGCUUGUAACAUCUCUUGUUUCAGAUUUUAGGCCCAAUAUAUCCUGGUCAAGAGUUUCCUCUCCCACUUCACUUAGCUGAAUCAGGCUGCAUAAGAUGGCGUCCUAUUGGUGACUCAUACCUAUGGAGCGAAGCUUAUAAUAUCUCAAGUAUCAUCUCUCGAGAUGUCAAGAUAGGCUUUUUGCGCUCCUUUGUCUGCUAUCCUUCUCUUCCUAGCAGUGAGGCAUUUCGCUGUUGCAUUUCUGUGAAUGGUCAGUGUCUGUCUCCAGUGGGCUGUGGAAAAAGAGCGUAUUCUGCAAUUGGUGUUGAUAGUGGUAAACAGCGUCGAGAUAGUCAUAUUCAAUCCUCUGAAAAUUUGGAGAUACCAAGGAAUAGGUUAUUAUAUCAAGUGAUGUUAACAAGUCCAUUGGUGUUGAAAAAUUAUCUCAUGAAAUCGAUGUCUGUGACAUUAGAAGAUGCUGGCGUCACACGUAUAGCUUUUCUUUCUGAGGUCAGUGCAUUUACCAGCUUGAGAUCAUUAUCAGGGAUUCAGGGUUGUUCUAUUCAUGAUUAUAUUUGAUUUUUACAGUCCCUAUGCUGGGGGACGCCUGUCUUAAAUCUAAUGUUCUUUAGUCUGAAUUUCAGGUGGAAACUUAUUUCUACCAUAUUGAUUCUUCUCACGAUUUUUCAAUAACAUUCCAAAUGCAAGGAUUUAAGCCUUCAACUUUGAAGUAUCCACGUGCAGAAUCAUUCAGCGAAAAAGCGAGAUUCAGUGGAACUAAGUUCUCAGUGUCUGAAAUAGUUAAAUUUGAGUCUCAGUUUUCUAAUGGUAUGUUGAGAUCUAGUUCCAUCAUAUAUCUAGCAUGUCAGAAUACUUUUGAUUUAAUUUAGAAACUUAUGUGAAAUGAUGUAGGACCAUUAUACGUUACAAUGGAGAAAGUGAUGGAUGCAGUCUCUGGAUCUCGUGAACUAUUCAUAUCUGUUCCUUUUUUGUUAUUUAACUGUACUGGAUUUCCUCUGGCUCUCUCGAGCUCUGGUAAUGAAAUGAAAGGAUAUAGCUGCAUCAUUCCUUCAUGCUAUGACUUGGAUGAGAAGAAUGUACUUUUUAAAAAGAAAGAUGGUCUUUCUCUUAUCUUUUCUGAUCACGACGUACCUGCUUCAGGUGAUCUUCUUAAUUCCACAUACUGCUUAGGAAAUUAUGUUACUGAUUCUUGUAGAGCUAUUAUUCCAUUCGUUCAUUACUUUCCCUCAGGUUCUACUAGUGAAGCAACUUUGAAUACACCUGAUCUUGUNAGGUUCUACUAGUGAAGCAACUUUGAAUACACCUGAUCUUGUAGAAAGUGGUAGUAAAAAGGUUUCAGCUUGCCUGUUUUCUCCUGAUCCUGACUCGUAUUCUGGAGAGGUUUGGGUGAAGCUCAGUAGACAUGUGCCUUCUGUCAUAGAAAAUCUCCAAAAGCAUUCAUGGUCUUCCCCCUUUUCACUAGUUCCACCAACUGGUUCUACCAGUGUUCUCGUUCCUCAACCAUCAAAGGUAUCUGGUUAUGUUUUAUCUGUUUCUGCUGUGGCUGCACCAUUUUCUGGGAGGACAAAAAUUAUCACUUUCCAGCCCAGGUAUUGUCUCUACAGUCUACACUAUUUGUUCAAUUGAUUCGUAUAUAUAGCACUCUGUUCACUUGAUUCCCUUUCAUUUUACAGAUAUGUGAUUGUCAAUGCUUGCACCAAAAUUUUAUGUUAUAAGCAAAAGGGUACGGACUCGUCUUUUCACUUGGAAGCUGGAAAGCAUUCCUAUAUUCAGUGGAUGGAUAGUAAAAGGUUUGAUGCUCCAUUUCAUAUUUGUUUUGGAAAUACUAAUUUUACUGACAAGUAAACUUGAGUUUACAGGCCUGUAAGGUUCAUAUAGAAUAUAUUUCGUUUAAGGUUUGUAUCACUGAAGAGUUAUUAUCAAGAUGUUCUCUAUAUUGUUACUCUUUAUUUGUAAUUUCCUAUGCUCAAACCUAUAAUAUGUGUAGUACUUGGGAGGCUGAUCCACGGUAUGCAUCAUUGCUUAUUGUUUAAAUUUUAUUUGGCCUCAUAUAUUCAGGGAAUUAUUGCUUUCUGUUCGCUUUGAUGAACCUGGAUGGGAGUGGUCUGGGUGCUUCUUACCUGAGCAGUUAGGUGACACUCAGCUUAAAGUGCGCAACUACAUCACUGCUGCUGUGUGCAUGCUGCGAGUAGAAGUGCGCAAUGCUGAUGUUUCUGUUGGAGAAGAAAAGAUUGUUGGGAGCACAACUGGAAACUCUGGGACAAACUUAAUUCUUCUGUCCGAUGAUGAUACUGGCUUUAUGCCAUAUAGGAUAGACAACCAUUCAAGGGAGGUUAGAUGGCACUUCAUUUCAUUUAUGCUUUUGUAGUGAUAUUUUUUGGGAAAAAUCAAAGAGCAUAAGGAUUACAUCUACAAGUUUAUGUUUUUGUGUAUAUCAACAUUUUACUCUAUCGAUAUUGUAUCUAAAAAAGUUAGAAACUUUUACGCAUAACGCAUUGUUGAUAAUAUUUUCAUUACUGGCUUUACUGUAAUGAAAGGUUGGACAACCGAACCCUUAAUUCUGGAAACUAUCAAACUCCUGGAUCGCGAUAGGUUUAUAAAUUGCUGUGCAUAUUUUCUCUGUUAUUCUAACUACUUAAUACUAUCCUUUGACACUGCAGAGGUUACGGAUAUACCAGCCAAAAUGUGAAUCUUUUGAAACAGUUAUUCACUCCUAUACAUCUACUCCGUAUGCUUGGGAUGAACCCUGCUAUCCGCACCGUCUUGUUGUUGAGGUAUGGUAAUUUUGAGUCUUUGACCAGAAUCAAGUGGCUGCUUUUCGGGAUAAAUCUCAGACUUCUAAUUUUGCAGGUUCCAGGUGAACGCAUUUUAGGGUCAUAUGCUAUUGAUGAUGUAUCAGCCCAUUCACUUGUGUACCUUCCUGCAACAUCAGAGGUACUAUUUUAUAUGCUCUGAUAUUAUCAUUCCUCAUAACGAACAUGGCAGUAGUCCCUCUUGAAGAUUUCAACUUCCAUAUUUGUUUUGUAUAGACCUUUCAUCUCAUGAUAUUAUAAAUGGAUCCUUUAAUUUGUUAUGAACUUAAGUGUGGUGGAAACUUUUCUAGUUGGAUUUUAGAUGAACCAUGAAAACGUAAAAUAGGCUGGCCUGGAAUCAUGAAUUCCGACCCCAACGAAACAAAAAGAAUACCCCAAACCUUAAGCCCUUGCUCAGUGGCUGACCACCUCCAAUUUCUUCCACUUUUUUUGCAUCUGUUCCAUCGAUGAUGCAAGUUAACGGACUGCCGGAUAGGAAAUUUGCUUUGAUAUUCUAAUACCUGGUCCUUUUAAAAUUUUAUUGCAGAAGCCUGAAAGAAAAUUGUUGAUAUCUGUCCAUUCGGAAGGAGCAAUAAAGGUCUAUAUAUCGGAUUCUGUAAUUAGAAUUGCAUUUUUGCUUCAGGAUAUAAUUUACAUCUCUUAUUUUACCAGGUUCUCAGUAUUAUCGAUUCAAGUUAUCAUGUUUUGAAUGAUUUGAAGAGGCUUCAUGUUCCUCAGUUGAAAGAUAAUGGAAAACUGGCUCAAGAGUACGAGUCAUUUGUUAAUUACAAAGAAAAAGUUUCAGUUGACAUUCCCUUCCUUGGGGUCUCUUUGAUGAACUCUCAUCCUGAGGUAUCAUAUCCUGGAAAGUAAUUCUUAUGUGUCUCAGUUUUUUCAGUCUUAGUUACAUUCCAAUAACCAUUUUAAAUCGGGAGUACCUGUUUUGGUUUUGUAGGAGAUACUCUUUGCAUCUGCUCAGAACACAAAGCUUACCUUUGUACAGAGUUUGGAUCAACAACAAUUUUCCUUCCAAAUAGCAUCAUUGCAAAUUGAUAACCAAUUACGCACAACGCCAUAUCCUGUAGUCCUGUCUUUCAACUCUGGAAACAAGGGAAAUAUGGUAAAUGGGAUGAAGCUUAAAGAUAGUUCAAAACUUAUCAGUGGAAGUACAAAUCAAACUGCCACUUCAAGCUUGCAUGAGCCAGUUUUCUCCUUAGGUGCUGCCAAGUGGCGAAACACUGAAACAUCACUGGUUUCAUUUGAAUCUAUUAGCCUCAGGUUCAUGAUAUUUCUAAAGAUUACUUCUAGACUUCACAAGGCCGUAACUCUUCAUAAUGUAUUCCCUUCCUUUGCAGAAUGGCAGAUCUUUAUCUUGAGAUUGAGCAAGAAAUUGUAUUGAGAUUGUUUGAAUUCUGCAAAACCGUAUCGUCAAGGUUGCAGAGCAGAGUUUAUCAAUAUGUGGGCUCCACACAGAACUUGUUGUUCCCAGAAUUGGACAUCACUGGAGAAACCUCUAGAAAUGCUCCAUAUUCUGCGAGAUUGGAUGGAAAAUAUACCAACAAUACAGGUACUACUAUCCUCGUUGAGGAUCACAAAAGAAAGUAUUUGCUGCCCCUCAUCGUCCCUAUUGGAGCUCCUUGGCAACAAAUUCACCUUGCUGCACGAAAGCAGAAGAAAGUAUAUGUUGAACUGUUUGAUAUGGGGCCAAUUAAGCUUACAUUGAGGUUAGUUGAUACUUGAUAGGUAGUUUCAAGCCACAUACCUUUAUUAGAAUAUUGUAAAUCUCAGGUUUCUCUUCUCACAGCUUUUCUAGCAGUCCGUGGAUCCUUAGGGAUGGUGUACUAACAUCUGGAGAAUCUCUUAUUCAUGUAAGUGAAGAGCAUUGAAGAUGAUAUUAAUUUCUCAACCAUUUGAUCUGAACUUUUUGGUCUAUCCCUAAAUGGCAUGGUAUCUUUUACAUGACAUGAUAAUAUUAACUUUUUGGUCACUUGCAUGAUAUUAGCAAUUUUAUUUGGCACUUCUAUAUUUCGUAACUUAUUGUAUCAUUUCCAUAGAGAGGUCUCAUGGCUCUUGCUGAUGUCGAGGGUGCCAAAAUUCAUUUCAAAGAGCUAGUUCUUUCACACCAGAUAGCUAGCUGGGAAACCUUUCAAGAGAUCCUUGUAAGUCAUUACACGCGGCAAUUUCUGCAUGAGAUGUACAAGGUAAUGUCCUACAUGACCUUUUCACUUUUGCAUGUGAUUUGCAAUCUUGUUUCUCGAGCCUCAUUAUUUCAGCCUAAUUUCUUCAGCCUACUCUUCUUUUAUAUUCAUUUGUUUAAUUUUGAUGGCACUGGAUAAUACCACUGUCAUAGAAGCCAUAGCAGUUGUGAGCAAUAACCCUUCUUUUACACUUUACCUACAAAAAAAACACUUCAAACCUCAAUUUAACUUUACUGGAGCACUCUAAGAUAAAUAGACUUGUGGCAACGUUUUCUUAGGACAAAACACAUGACGCAUUCAUCCGCUUUGACAAAUGACAUUUCACUUUACUGGAGCACUCUAAGCAUAAAUAGAUCAUUUCUAAUAUUUUGCUUAAAUUUAUCUUCUGGAUUGAUAUUUCAAAACCAUGGAGUUGCUUCUUGGUGAUUAGCGAUUUCUGUUAAUAACAUCAUUUUGCUCAAACUACAUCUUUUAUAAGCUUGACCUACUCUGCUUUCUAAUCACACAUGUCACUAAAUGAACAGCUAAAGCCUGAAAAAAGGAUUCUUACUUUUCUUUUUAGUUUAAAA
rnacentral:lncRNA from 1 species